rnacentral:rRNA from 1 species
UACGUAGGGUGCGAGCGUUAAUCGGAAUACUGGGCGUAAAGCGUGCGCAGGCGGUGAUGUAAGACAGAUGUGAAAUCCCCGGGCUCAACCUGGGAACUGCAUUUGUGACUGCAUCGCUGGAGUGCGGCAGAGGGGGGAUGGAAUUCCGCGUGUAGCAGUGAAAUGCGUAGAUAUGCGGAGGAACACCGAUGGCGAAGGCAAUCCCCCUGGGCCUGCACUGACGCUCAUGCACGAAAGCGUGGGGAGAAACAGG